CGGGCAGGGGGCGCAGCCGCGGAGCCGCAUCCUCCGGGCGCCUGCAGCCUCUUCCCGGCCCGGGGCCUUUCCCCUCGUCCCCGGGGGACGGAAACGGAAUUAUGCAGACAGUUCGGUCCAGCCGCUUCCAAACAGCAUCGAAUGUCAACCUAAAUCCCCAGUUACUGAGGGAGCGGGUCUGGGGACGGGAGGCCGGAAGAAGCGGGGCGCGCUCGAAGUCCUGCAAAUGCUGCUUCAGAGAUCCGCGCGCUUCGGGGGACGCUAGAUGGGAUGCCUUUCCCUCGAUUUAUGUCAUCUGGAGCCGAGCUGCUGCCCUGGUCGGGUGCACAGAGCGGAAGCCUCAGUUAUAGCCGGGGACUGCAACCCCCUGGGAGGGGGCCAAACCACCGAUGGGAAUUUUCUUGCCUCGGGCGCCCAGAGCCUUCAGCACCCCUGACUCUCCAGACAGGAGACCACAGAGACGGGGGAAGUAGCUGGGAGGCUUUGAACCAGCCGUGUGCUUGGCGUUCCGUGGUCUUCGCAUUCUGCCCUGCCACUGAACUCGUCGUCCAGACGAAAAGGAAAAACUGGAACUAGAUUCAAGCUAUUAACUCGACACCUGUACCCUGCACGUGUGAACAGCAUGGUCACCUGAGGACCGGUCCUGUGGUCGGGUUCGGUGGUAACUGAUGCCGGAAAGGGGCGCUGCCCGCCCUCCUGAUGCCAGGCGCACGUGGCACACGAGGUCGGCAGAGAUUAUUUUGUUCUGUCGUGCACUUCAUUCUGUGUUACUUUAUUUUUGUAGUAUUGUGGAUGCUAAAUGAUUAUUCCGUGUAUGUUUUUUAAGAUACGUAGUGGUUUAUAUUUUUUAAAA